CCCGCUGAACUUAAGCAUAUCAAUAAGCGGAGGAAAAGAAACUAACAAGGAUUCCCCUAGUAACUGCGAGUGAAGCGGGAAAAGCUCAAAUUUAAAAUCUGGCGGUCUUGCGGCCGUCCGAGUAGUAAUCUGAAGAAGCGUUUAUGCGCGUCGGACCGUGUACAAGUCUUCUGGCACGGAGCGUCGUAGAGGGUGAGAAUCCCGUCUCUGACACGGACAGAGGAUGCAGCAUGUGAUACGCUCUCGAAGAGUCGAGUUGUUUGGGAAUGCAGCUCAAAAUAGGUGGUAAAUUCCAUAUAAAGCCACAUAUUGGCGAGAGACCGAUAUCGAACACGUACCGCGAGGGAAAGAUGAAAAGCGCUCAGGAAAGAGAGUUAAACAAUAUGUGACACUGUGGAAAGAGAAACGUUCGAAGUCAGUACAGCGUCGGACGAGACUCAACUCCACCUCAGGGCAGUGCGCAAUUAUCGGUCGACGCUUCAGCAUCAAUUUCGAUCGUCGGAUAAAGUUCGAGGGAACGUGGCACCCUCCAGGGUGUGCUAUAGCCAUCGGUCCCGCAUGCGACGGUCGGGAUUGAGGAACACGACACCCCCUCAUUGCUCGGCACUUCGUCUCACGCAAACGUGUCUAGGAUGCUGGCGUAAUGGCUUUAAGCGACCCGUCUUGAAACACGG
rnacentral:rRNA from 1 species